rnacentral:tRNA from 1 species
GGCCCCGUAGCUCAGUCGGAUAGAGCAACAGAUUCCUAAUCUGUAGGUCGCAGGUUCGAAUCCUGCCGGGGUCACCA